GCCAGGCACUGUGGCACAUGCCUGUAGUCCCAGCUACUUAGAGGCUGAGGCAGGAGGAUUGUUUGAGCCCAGGAGUUCUGGGUUGUAGUGUGUUAUGCUGAUUAGGUGUCCAUACUAAGUUUGGCUUCAAUAUGGUGAACUCCCAGGCGUGGGAGACUACCAGGUUGCCUAGCAGAGGGUGAACCGACCUAGGCUGGAAAUGGAGCAGGUCAAAACUCCCGUGUUGAUCAGGAGUGGGAUCAUGCCUAUGAAUAGCCACUGCACACGAGCCUCAGUGACACAGUGAGACCCUGUCUUUG
ensembl:misc_RNA Metazoa_SRP Metazoan signal recognition particle RNA